AGAGUUUGAUCCUGGCUCAGGACGAACGCUGGCGGCGUGCUUAACACAUGCAAGUCUUAGGAGAACGGGAAUCUUCGGAAUCCCUAGUAAACUGGCGAAAGGGUGCGUAGCGCGUAGGUAACCUACCCUGCAGUGUGGAAUAACUUGGGGAAACCCUUGCUAAUACCGCAUGAUAUCCUGAAAACGCAUGUUUUCAGGAUCAAAGAACUUCGGUUCGCUACAGGAUGGGCUUGCGUCUUAUUAGCUUGUUGGUAGGGUAAUGGCCUACCAAGGCAACGAUGAGUAGCUGGUCUGAGAGGAUGAUCAGCCACACUGGCACUGAGACACGGGCCAGACUCCUACGGGAGGCAGCAGUGAGGAAUAUUGGGCAAUGGGCGAAAGCCUGACCCAGCAACGCCGCGUGGGUGAUGAAGCUCUGAGGAGUGUAAAACCCUGUUAGGAGGAAAGAAACUUCCGAUUUAUCGGAAUUGACGGUACCUCCAGAGAAAGCUCCGGCCAACUCCGUGCCAGCAGCCGCGGUAAUACGGGGGGAGCAAGCGUUGUCCGGAUUUACUGGGCGUAAAGAGCGUGUAGGCGGGACAAUAAGUCAGUUGUGAAAUCUCUCGGCUUAACCGAGAACGUGCGUCUGAUACUGUUGUCCUUGAGUUCGGAAGAGGGAAGUGGAAUUCCUGGUGUAGCGGUGAAAUGCGUAGAUAUCAGGAAGAACACCAGUAGCGAAGGCGGCUUCCUGGUCCGUAACUGACGCUGAGACGCGAAAGCGUGGGGAGCAAACAGGAUUAGAUACCCUGGUAGUCCACGCCGUAAACGAUGGGCACUAGGUGUUGGAGGAUUCGACCCCUUCAGUGCCGAAGCUAACGCAUUAAGUGCCCCGCCUGGGGAGUACGGUCGCAAGACUGAAACUCAAAGGAAUUGACGGGGGCCCGCACAAGCGGUGGAGCAUGUGGUUUAAUUCGAUGCAACGCGAAGAACCUUACCUGGGCUUGAACUGCAGCGGACAUUCCGAGAAAUCGGACUUCCUUCGGGACCGCUGUAGAGGUGCCGCAUGGCUGUCGUCAGCUCGUGUCGUGAGAUGUUGGGUUAAGUCCCGCAACGAGCGCAACCCUUGUCCUUAGUUGCCAUCAGAUAAUGCUGGGCACUCUAAGGAGACUGCCUCGGAUGACGGGGAGGAAGGUGGGGAUGACGUCAAGUCCUCAUGGCCCUUACGUCCAGGGCUACACACGUGCUACAAUGGUCGGUACAGUGGGAAGCAAUACCGCGAGGUGGAGCCAAUCCCUAAAACCGAUCUCAGUUCGGAUUGGAGUCUGCAACUCGACUCCAUGAAGUUGGAAUCGCUAGUAAUCACGGAUCAGCAGGCCGUGGUGAAUACGUUCCCGGGCCUUGUACACACCGCCCGUCACGCCAUGAAAGUUGGGAGUACCAGAAGCCGGUGGCCUAACCCCGAGCAAUCGGGGAGGGAACAGUCAAAGGUAAGACCGAUGAUUGGGGCGAAGUCGUAACAAGGUAACC
rnacentral:rRNA from 1 species